rnacentral:rRNA from 1 species
AUACGGAGGGUGCAAGCGUUAAUCGGAAUUACUGGGCGUAAAGCGCGCGUAGGCGGUUUUAUAAGUCAGAUGUGAAAGCCCCGGGCUCAACCUGGGAACGGCAUUUGAAACUGUAUGACUUGAGUAUAGUAGAGGAGAGUGGAAUUCCACAUGUAGCGGUGAAAUGCGUAGAUAUGUGGAGGAACAUCAGUGGCGAAGGCGACUCUCUGGGCUAAUACUGACGCUGAGGUGCGAAAGCGUGGGGAGCAAACAGGAUUAGAAACCCCGGUAGUCC